AUGGACCCCAACUGCUCCUGCGCCACUGGUGUCUCCUGCGCCUGCGCCAGCUCCUGCAAGUGCAAAGAGUGCAAAUGC
rnacentral:sRNA from 1 species